rnacentral:lncRNA from 1 species
GUGAGCGCCUAGCGCGAAAGGUUGCUUUACUAAGUAAGAUAAGGCAAGAAGCAAGGGCGCAGCAGCUGCACGAAGUUGCUUCUUAGCGCAUCCGUUUUCUUGCUCGUUAGCGCUUGACUAAUAAGAUAGAAAGAGCCUUUCUUGCUUGUUUAGUAAAGUCUCGCUUUUUGAUAGGAGUAGGUGCUUGCUAGGGCAGGGCACUUUUCAUUCUUCAUUCGAAACUAACAAGUGUCGGGUCGGGGAUUUCUGCCUUGUUAUCAAAAAGGGAGUUGGGUAAAGCAAACUCUCUCCUUGGAGG